AUUGCUAACGUGCUCUCCCAGCUCCAGAGCGUGCCCUUGGGGUGGGCUGCUACUUGCUUGGGACUGCACCCCAGCUCAGCUUCUCCCUCUGCCCAGUCCUGCUUCCUGGUCUCAUUUUUACUAGUGUUACUCUUAGGAGGAUCCCUUCAUAAAAUCCUGUUGGCCAAUUUCUCUCUCGCCAUCUGCUUCUCAAGGAACUAAUCCUGGAACAAUCCUCCCAGUAGCCUAAUGUAUACUUAUUACUAAGAUUCUCCUCAAUUAAGUUUUAAAGACACUAGGUAACUUGCUCAGUGUCCCAAAGCUCAUGACUUGUAGAGGCGGGAUUUGAACUCAGUCAAUUGACUCUAGAGCCUAUGCUUCUAACCAGGCACUCGAUAAAUCCAGUCAGUGAAUCGAUGGCUUAUUUUCCAUGAGUCACCAAGGUAAAAAAAAUUUAGUUCCUAUCCUUCCCUAGUAGCUAAGAUGGUAAAAAAUUUGCCUGCAAUGUGGGAGACCUGGGUUCCAUCCCUCAGCUGGAAAGAUCCCCUGGAGAAGGAAAUAGCAACCCUCUCCGGUAUCCUUGUCUGGAGAAUCCCUAUGGACAGAGGAGCCUGGUGAGCUACAGUCCAUGGGGUCUCAAAGAGUCAGACAUGCCCGAGUGACUAACAUGCAGAAAAAGAGCUUUGUGCAUAUAAUCUUCUCAACGCCAAGGAAACCAGGGCAGCAACGGACGGCUGUGGAUGAUCACAGCCUGUCCUGUCAACGGUGUGGACGCGCUUGGCUGACUCAUAGUGCAGGUCACUGAGAAGGGACUUAAGCCCAGCUCUAAUGGUGAGUUCUAAAUGAAAAUGUCACCUGAAAGGUCUCUGUGUCUGGAUGAUUUAAUCCAUUUCUAAUGGAACACAUGAGCUGGCGUAGAACAGCCAGUUCUCCCUGACCUGUGCAAAAUGCUGAUUAUCCCAAGUUGUUUUUGUUUGCUUUGGGAUGUGUUCAGAGAUCAACACAUGCAGCCGUGCACAGCUUCACCAGCCAGGGCCUCCCAAGGGGACCCUUCCACUAUGGGCAGCCUAGACUAGGGGAGGCCAGGGCCAUUAGGAUGGAAGGUCUGGUCUCUUGGAAUGUCCUGAUGGUCAGGUUCAUUGGGAGGGGGCCACAGGCAGGACAUAGAGAGGGUAGAGAGGAAUAGAUACCUGGUCUGGUUCUGCUGUAGAGACCUCGAGAAUAAGGUCUAGAUAUAUGCCCUGCAGAGGGGGAGGGGAAAUCAAUAUGGUUUAGCUCAAAGUUUCAGAUUUCAGCACUAACUUUGCAUCUGUUUGUUAUUAAAAGUUAAAGUCUGUGCCUGCUCCAGCCCAGCCGCCCUGUGCUCUCUGACCUGAGGCAGGUACAUCCUGUUCCAGGCAGCUGGGCCUUUAAUCAUAAACUAUUCUGUUUUGCUAUUUAACUGUCUAUGUUCUUCCCUGAAAGGAUGGCAGGAGCCUUGGAAAUGGGGACUCGAGUGUUAAAAUCUAAUUUUUUUAAAUAUCAGGCACUGGUGCUAAGCACCCCAGGACCUGAUCUUAUUUAUUUCACUCGGCGAUUCUAGGAGGCAUUAAGCCCAUUGCACAGAGGAGGACACAGGUUUAGAGAUGCCUGUACCUAUCCUUUGCCCAUUUUUCUGCUGGAACUGAGGAAGAAUGAAAAGGAUUUUUACAGAUGUGGAAAGACGGAAUUUUAAAAGGGACUGGAUAAUUGUGGGGCACAGGAAGAUGAGGACUGGCAUUGAAAAAUAGCUUGAGGACCUACCACCUCUGCAGUUGCUGGAGAUAUCUGGGCCAGGCCUUUCCUCCUCCUCCAGCCUGAGCGACAGUCUGCUCAGGUACCAAGGGGAAGUCUGGAAAUUACAUUCUAGGUCUAGAAUUGCAGAUUUGAGCUUGGACUGUGAAUUGUCUGAGAAAUCACUAGGCCCCUCCUCUGAGCCUGGUUUAUCUCCAACGGGUUGAUUAAAGUUGGUGGAGGGGAGGUGGGGGCAUAAGAGAUUGGACUCAUAGCUUGAAUUAGUAACCGAUUUAGGAGAGAGGUAAAGCCUGAAAUAUGUCCUAACAAGACAGUCAGAGGCCAAGUUCAGAAAUUCCUCCCUAGGCCACAACAUGCUUUUGUGUUGUUGUUCUCUGUCUUUAUUUUCCUGGGAGGUAUGACUGAGGAUGUCUGAAGAGCUGUUUUCAGAACAGAGAAAGGAUCAAGCUAUGCUUUGGUGUCUCUGCAGUCACGUGGUUUGUACUCUGGAAAUCAGGCAGAUGUCAGUCACACACCCUCUGUUGUUUCUAGAAGGUGCAUGAGGUGGCUUCCAGAGGGUCUGUCAGGUAUCAUUGUUCCAUUCUUCCAUUCUUGGUGGAUUUAUCGACAGCAGCCCCUGGGCUUGGCCCUGUUCCCACAGACUCAGACAUGUAGAAGCUGACCUGUGCCUUCCAAAAUGUUAGACCCUAAUUAGAGGAAUAAGAGUACUGUGAUGGCUAAUUGUCUGGGUCAACUUGGCUGGGCCACAGAGCCCAGAUACCUGGUCACACAUUCUGGAUGCUUCUGUAAAGAUGUGUCUUGGAUGAGAUGAAGGUUUAAAAGUAGUGGACUUGGAGUAAAGCAGAUUGCCCUCCAUAGUGUGAGUCGACCCCGUCUAAUCCACUGAAGGUCUUAAUCAGAACGAAAAGUGAUGUCCCCCUGAGCAAGAGGGAGUUCUGCAGCAGACUGCACUUGGACUAAAACUCUUUACUGGGCCCCCAGCCUGCUGGCCUACCCUGAAGCUUUUGGACUUGCCUUUCCACAAUAGUGUGAACCAAUUCCUUAAAAUAAAUGUCUUUCUGUCCCUC